rnacentral:rRNA from 1 species
AUGCCCUUUUCUCUUGAGCUGAAACGCAUGCAAGCAUGGCUGUUGACCGAGCCCCCUAAUUCAACUAUUCAGUGCUGCAGGUUCAUGUUCUUGGGGAAAAAAUCGUUGUCUAUUUCCUAUAUUGGUGAUGCGGGUGAACUGAUUUGGGAAAAUGUCGAUGUUAAAGCAUUUGGUCAUGAUGGAUCAUUUUACUGGUUCUCAGUUCAACUCAAGAUGGCUCAGAUAGGACCAAGUUUGAAUAUUCAUGUGUUGGAUAGGGGUUGGGGUUGGUCUCCUGCACAAGAGGUGAAGUUCAUUUAUGUAAAUUUGUGUCCCGUGGUCAUAUAUUGGCCUGUAGAAUUUAUCAGGUGCCAAGUUCACUUGCCAUACACUUAA